ACAGCCCCUCCCCCGGCGGCCCCCCCUUUACAGGGAGGGGCCGUCGCCAUCAGCCUCACUGCCCGCACCUGGGGCUCCUCCAGCUCCGGCCCGCAGCUGUGGUACCGAAAUCCGGAAUAAAACUCCAGAACACCAAUGGGAAGUUCAGAAGCAGGCACUUCGUUUAUUGAAUGAAAGAUGUCAAGAGUCAUCUUAUCUUGAAGAGUUGUUAACUGGGGUAAAAAUACAGAUUUUAAUACCCAUCUUAUUUUAGUUCUAAGACUUGGCAAUUGCCAGGUAUCAUCUUUUUGAUUUACCCAAGUCCACCAUCGAGGCCACAGGGGAGAUUUCUUCCAGAGAGAGGACAGAGUUAUUAAGUCUAAAGUCCAUUAUUUGCUUUUGUCCUUCAUGAAAAGGUGAGUGCAUCAUAUAUCAUCACUAUUCACCCAAACAGUUAACCCUAAACUUUUCACCUGUCCUUUAAUACAGUCAAUUCCAAGCUAAAUUUUUUCCAUUAUUAAGAGGGGACCAAAUAUCAUUUAAAAUAUUAUUAUACUUUCUACAAAUACAUCCCCAUCUUAGAGCUUUAGCUACUAGAGAAAGUCUUUGGAUUUUGGGGUCACAGGAGCUGCAAGUAUAAACUUUCAUACCGUUCUGUUUAGGCUGUGUGAUUUUUCUCUGUUUGUCUAAACCAAUCUAAAUUUCCAUAGAUGGUCCUGACUCUGGGUGGAUCUAACAAGGAUCCUGGAACUCCAGGGGUAUUGUUUAAUUCUUACCGGAUUCGAUCCUGGCUUUAAAUCAAUUCUCACAGGUUCUGCUUUUUGGAUUUACUGGGAACUUCCCAGUCCAGACGAUUGGAAUUACAGCAUUAUACUUUGACUGGUAUAAUCUUCUGCUUUCCGGAACGCUGCAAGGAGCUUUGUGAGUCGAGGGUGAUGGUUCUCCCCGAGAAUACCUCGGUGCCGGCCGGAGUUCGAUCAACACUCGAUCUCAUCCAGUCUCACUUGCAAGGUCCCAUCUGGGUCGCCAAAACCGUUACCAAAAUCCGGAAUAAAACUCCUUAACACCAACGUGAAGUUAAGAAGCAGGCACUUCGUUUAUCGCAGUGCUGGGGACAUGGGGGAUCGCUCCUCCAAAGGCGUGUCCCACUUAGUAUCAAAAUCCAUCAGUUUUUACAGACUUUUUCUGUCAGGUCAUUGUUACAUAAGCUCUUUACAUAAAAAUGCAUACUAUGCUCAUUCUUAAA